AGUGAACGCUGGCGGUAGGCCUAACACAUGCAAGUCGAACGGCAGCACAGUAAGAGCUUGCUCUUACGGGUGGCGAGUGGCGGACGAGUGAGGAAUACAUCGGAAUCUACUUUUUCGUGGGGGAUGACGUAGGGAAACUUACGCUAAUACCGCAUACGACCUACGGGUGAAAGCAGGGGAUCUUCGGACCUUGCGCGAUUGAAUGAGCCGAUGUCGGGUUAGCUAGUUGGCGGGGUAAAGGCCCACCAAGGCGACGAUCCGUAGCUGGGCUGAGAGGAUGAUCAGCCACACUGGAAGUGAGACACGGUCCAGAGUCCGACGGGAGGCAGCAGUGGGGAAUAUUGGACAAUGGGCGCAAGCCUGAUCCAGCCAUACCGCGUGGGUGAAGAAGGCCUUCGGGUUGUAAAGCCCUUUUGUUGGGAAAGAAAAGCAGCAGGUUAAUACCCCGCUGUUCUGACGGUACCCAAAGAAUAAGCACCGGCUAACUUCGUG
rnacentral:rRNA from 1 species